UCGACCACAAUGUGAAAAAUGGCACAGCAUCAUCAGCCAAUGAACUGUAGUUGUCCCUCAGACACAUUCAAAUAAUACAGUAACACACAUGAAAAUACAUGAAAUUCAAAUGCAGAAUGCAAUGUGAUGCAUUUCAAAUUAAACUAAACAAAAAUACCCAAGUAGGCCAUUAACUUUGUUCUAGUUUGGUAAAUUUCAGUUCUUGAAUUUGAAGACAUUGGCAAGCUUGAGCGGAGACUAGCACCUAGCACACACAGUCAUAUUCAUCACCCAGCUGUGUCUCUGGUCCACAGUCCAGAAAAACGUCAUCCUUCAGGAGCCCAUCGGGGAGUUUGGUGUCAUCAAGUGCUAUAGCAUGAACCAAUCAAUAGAUGGAGCAAACUGCAAGGCCCUGUAUGGCAGUCCCAUUCAAAUCCAGGUUGAAGUAGAAGCUGAUAAGGAAAACCAACAUGAGCAGAAAUAAAACCAUCUGGUCUUACAUUUCCGAGAGUACAAAUCUUGGUAGAAUGAGACAACUUUUCUAUCUACGAAUGUGACCUACAAAGGUACGAAUGUGACCUACAAAGUCCACCGUGGUGAGAUGUUGGUGGCCAAUUCAUCAGCAGUCAGAGGAAUCGUCCCCCACAACAUCACAGUGGGAUCAGAGGUGGAGCAACAGCUGGGCUCUGGCUGCCACCAGCUGACCCUGCAUGCUUCGGUCUUGGGCGUGUUCACUGAGCUGCAGGUGUCUGGAGCCAACGGCAGCAUCUCAAAGACCAGAGACAUUUGAAAACGGAAGCAUGCAGGUUUACAAUAUCUCAACCACUAUCCAAGGAUAUUUGCAAGUGUAAGUCAGGUCCUGGAUUGUCUUCUCACACAUGGAUGUGGAUAACACAGCAGUUGUUUGUCACAACAGUUCAGACCUCAGACAGAAAAGCAUAUGAGAGUUUGUCGAGCCUACACCUUGAGAAUUACUGCCAGUCCAGAAACUACCCGUCAAGACACUGAAAGCGUCAAACUUGAGGUAACUGGCUUAGGAGGACUAUCUAAUGGAAAGCAGAGCAAAUUUGAAUGGGAAUGCACAUGGCCUUAUUGUGGUGUUUUCUAACCAUUUUCCCUUUCCAACUCCAGUAGAGGAAGACUGUAAGGGUAAGGGAAAAUGCAACGAUAAAACAACGGACAAGACUUGUUUGAUUGAAAAAGACUGUCUUCCAAACCCAUUCGAGCACUUUUUCUGUGAAGAGACGGAUUGGCAAUGGGAAAUGGGUUGACUGGAUUUAAACAUGGCGAUGCAUCACGGUUACUCCAACAAAAUUCACCAACUUUAGAAUUUGGUAAUAUGGGGAUAGGCCUAAAAUAGUGAAGUGAAUAUAUAUGUCAUGCUAUUUAUUUCAUGACAACUCCUAUCAGUAUCAUUAUAAAACAGGCAAUGACAAUAUUAUACAAAUUGCAAUUUAAAUAUCACUACAAUUAUAGUAUCAUCAUCAUAAUCAUCCUCAGAGAAGUACAAGUAACUUCCAAAAUAAAGGAAACACCAACAUAAAGUGUCUUAAUAGGGUGUUGGGUCACCACGAGCCGCCAGAACUGUUUCAAUGCACCUUGCAUAGAUUCUACAAGUGCCUGGAUCUCUACUGGAGGGAGGUGACACCAAUUUUCCUCUAGAAAUUCCAUCAUUUUGUGUUUUGUUGAUGCUGGUGGUGGAAAACGGUCUCAGGCGCCACUCCAGAAUCUCCAAUAAGUGUUCAAUUGGGUUGAGAUCUGGUGACUGAGACAAACACACACACACACACCGUUAACCCUGUAUGCUACUUUGAGACCCCUCUUUCAAAGUCACUGACAUCUCUUCAUCCAGCCAUGGUAACCAAAAUAAUGGGCAACUGGGCAUUUUUAUACAUGACCAUAAGAAUGAAGGGAUAAUAAUAAUUGCAUAAUUAACUCAGGAACAACACCUGUGUGGAAGGACCUGCUUUCAAUAUACUUUGUAUCCCUCAUUUAAUCAAGUGUUUCCUUUAUUUUGGCAGUUACAUGUGUUGGACAUCAUAAUGCUUUUGGACUGGCCUAAGUGGCCAUACAGAAUGUUGAUAAAUAUCUGGAAUGAAUCGAGUUAGAAAUUAUUUAGCUUAAACUAUUGACAGAUUUGUAAUCCUUAAGUGUACAACAGGGUAAUGACAUUAGCAUAUUAAUUGACUGAUUUAAUUAGAAUUCAGAAGAAAAUUGGUCACAUUUAACAUGCGUUGCUCUCAUGCCUAUGGAGCAUGCUGUAAUGACACUAAUAAUAAUGUUGCAUUAAAUGCCCAAUAAUGACAUAAUAAUGUAUGUAUUGCUUUGUUAUUACAAAGGUAAACUGUUUCUGGUACAACACUGUUACUAUUACCAUUUGUAUGAUAACAAUAACUGUCCAUUGCUAUGUAUUUACAAAGCAAUAAUCAAGUUACUAUGUUACAAAAUGUGAAUUCAAUGUUUUUAAGAUGAUCUAUUUUAUGCUAAAAAACAGUACCUAUAUUCUUUCAGUUGCCAGGAUAAUUGUAAUACAGUGGAUGUAAAAUGUUUUUUUUUAAAUGUACAAUUAAAAUUGGACUUACUGUUGAAGGACCCAAAACCUUCAACAGUAAGUCUGAGAUUCCUUUAUUGUUGCAUGCUGAAUGCAAUCAUAUUUUUUAUUGGUAUCAAACCAAAUUUUACUUGUCGCAUACACGUGUUUAGCAGAUGUUAUUGCGGGUGUAGCGAAAUGCUUAUUUUCAUGUGUGAAUGAGUUUCGUUAGAGUGCAUGAAUCAAUUUAUUGACUAACCCAUGUUGUCUAAUUUGGAGUUGACAUAUUGUAGAUAAAUAAAACAAAUUGAUGCAUAAACCCACCCGUUUCCCAACAACAGCCAGUAUCUGUACAGGCAGCUAUGCCAUGUAGAGAAGGAGUUGAGCCUACUGGGACCCUCUCGUUUCCCCAACUCAGACAGCAACUGCCGGGCAGUGCAGCAGGUCCAGUGCAUGAAGGGACUGCUAGAGUCUUCCAGCCUGGGAUGGGAACAGCUGGCUCGAAGCCCAGGCCAAGCAGAGAGCAGUGAUGGGGACAGUGGCAGUAAAAAGUGCUGUCAAGGCGGGCUUCCCUGGUGGUUUGUGUUCAUUGGCUGGAUUCUGGUGUUAGCUGCCAGCGGAGUAUCAGGAUACUUCACCAUGAUGUAUGGGUUGACCUAUGGGAAAGACCGCUCUAUAAGGUCGCUUUUUCAUUCACUGCACCUAUUGGUUAACAUGCAUGUUCAAGGCCUAUGAUUCUGUUGCAGCCUACAUGGGGUUCAUGAUGCUUACUUCCUGACUCAGCACAUAUGGCAGAGCUUCAGCCAAGGGAUCUCAGACAGCAUGAGCCACGGAAAUGUGUUCACCUGGGAAAAUACCUCUCUUCUCAGCAACUUCUUCAGAGAGUACCCAGGUUUCAUCACUGAUGGGAACUCCAAACUGGUUGGUAAUGCCCGUCUUCUCCAGGUGAGGGUGCAGAAGAACUCCUGCCGCAUCGCCCGCUCCAUGCACCAGGCUGUACCUGACUGCCAAGCUCCAUACUCAUGGGAGGUGGAGGACAUGGGCUCCUAUGGGCCAGGCUGGAACCGCUCUGCGAGCGAAAACGCCUCAAAGACCCUCCACAGUCCCUGGCAGUACCAAACCCAGGCCAGACUCAGAGCCCAACCCAUCUGGGGCAGUGUGGUCCUCUACAGGGGAGGGGGGUUUGUGGUGGACCUGGGCCCAGAGUCACAGAAUGCUAGCAGCCCUCUGAGGAAGAGGAGAUAGUGCUGAUGCUGAUGAAGUUCUGCAGCUUGUUCGGGAUCAAAUAUAAGAAAGAAGAUAAAGAAGAAAGUAACAGUCCCAGGGUGAUUGCCAACAAUGCCUCUGUUACUAAGAAAGGACCCUCCACUAUAUCCUCAUAGAUGCUUAGUUCUCAGUAAAGAUCUGCCACUCUGUAUGAAUUGAUAUUGGAACUGCUUUCAUUUAUGUUGCUGAAUAGGAUUAUUAAAACACGUUAUA